GUAGUGGAGCUUCUUGAUGUCUUAAGUUAAUGGUGUGUUUUUGUUGAUUGAGAGAAGCAUUCGUGGUAGCUAUUAAUAGAAGGAAAGUCAUCGACUCUAGCGCUGACGAUUUUGACCAAGUCAUAUGCAUGUGGUGGCAUUACGUGGUGGUAUAAUCCGUGAUCGUUGUUGAGUUUAGCAUCUCUGGAUCCCUUGAAAG